rnacentral:lncRNA from 1 species
GAACAGUGCCCGACACAUACCUGCCCUUCACUUGCUGCUCAUUGAACUUCAUUGACUAAAUCGUUUCCCAAACCAGAACAACGAACAGAAACUGUAACGGGCCAUGUGUCUCGCUAGUGGGAAGGACUUAGAUCGGGCAGCUUGUCAGGGAUUUUCCAAAGAGGGAAAAGCUGUAGGAAUUUAAAUACAAAAGCAGGGACUUCCCCUUGUGGCCCAGCGGGUUAAGAACCCAGCAUAGUCUCCAUGAGGAUGGGGGUUUGAUCCCUGGCCUUGCUCAUUGGUGGGUUAAGGAUCCAGCGUUGCCAUGAGCUGUGGUGUAGGUCGUAGACGCGGCUCGGAUCCCACGUUGCUGUGGCUCUGGCAUAGGCCAACGUCUAAAGCUCCAAUUAAACCCCUAGCCUGGGAACCUCCAUAUGCUGCAGGAGCAGCCCAAGAAAUGGCAAUAAAUAAAAAAAUAAAAUAAAAUACAAAAGCAAAAUGUGACCCGAAGAUACUGCUGGUCCUAGAUAUUCAUAGCGAAGACCUUUAACCAUCAGGGAAAGUUCAGUCAUGCUUAACGAUUCUCCCACAAGCCCAGCAAGGCGGCCUCCUAGAGGAGAAGGCUUCUGAAAGCAAUUAAGAUGCAGAUUCAAUUUUUGAAAGUUCUGCAAAGCAACACCAAGGUACAAUCAGUUUCCUCCUUAAUAUCAAGUUAAGUUUCCUCUACUUCACUGGACCGAUUCCUCUUUAGCCAACUGGCCUCUGGCCUUGCAGUGCUAGUUAAACUGAGUUUAUAGGAAGUAAGCAGUUUUACGUAUAUAAAUUUAUCAACUACUAGCUUUAACUCACACGUGUGAUUUACGUCAAUUGAAUUCAAGAAUUAUUAAAGCCUUAGGAGUGGUUCAGUGGAAACGAAUCUGACGGACAUCCGUGAGGACACAGGUUCGAUCCUGGCCUCGCUCAGUGGGUUAAGGAUCUGGCAUUGCCGUGAGCUGUGGUGUAGGUCUUAGACGAGGCUCGGAUCUGGUGUUGCUGUGGCUGUGGUGUAGGCCGGCAGCUGUAGCUCCUAUUCAACCCAUAGCCUGGGACUUUCCAUGUGCUGCAGUUGCAGGCCUAAAAAAUAUAAUAAAUAAAAAGAUUUUAUGGGAGUGGAGAGUAGUAAUAAGGGGAGAAAGGUUGAGAAAUACUGGGCUUUAAAAGUCCUGCAUGAUCUGAUAGCCCUUGCUACCUCAUGAGCUUCAAGCCACCCCCACAUCUUAUGUUACACUCCUGCCUUGUACUGCACUGUCCCAGGCUUACUGUCCUGCUGCUGUCAUCCUUGGCCGUAUGACCCGAGUUGCUCUGGCUGGGGAACGGUGAGUGGGAGGGACGUGGACCAUUCCCAAGCAGAAGCUCUAAACAUCAUCUCGUGGCUUUCCCCCUCACUCGUUCCUCCACCUUGAGCCCGACGUGUUCUAGACAGGGGCCGCUCCUUCAGCCUGGGUCCCGGAAUGAAGAGGACAUUGAGCAGAGCCAAAACAUGCAAUAUGCCCACGGUGGACAUGUACCUUGGACAAAAAAGUAGAAGUUUAGCUUUUGUGAGCCCCUGAGAUUUGGGAGAUUGGUCGUGACUGCAUCAUAACCCAUCAGUGGGUGACUAAUGGACCCAGCGAUGCCCUUGCUCUCUCUCCACCCCUACUCCUCCCCUCGGCUUAGAGCACAUCCCUCCCUGAUGGGCUCCUGAAUCCCCCUGCUGUCAGCUUAGAUGCUUCUAUCUCUAUUAAGUCAGAACUUCUCCCUUCCCCUCCCCGCCACAGAACACCAGACUAGGUGCCUAUAGUAGGCAGAGUAAUGCCCCCCCCCAACACAUCCGUGUCCUAAUCCCCAGAACAUAUAAAUACGGCAAAAAUCGCAGAUGUGAUUGAGUGAAGGAUUGCAACAAAAAAUUAUCCUAAUUAACUAGUUGUGCCCAGUGUAAUCAUAAGGGUCCUUAAAAGAUGGAAGAAGAAAGCAGCAGAAUCAGAGAUGUCGUGACAGAAGGAUUCAGAAUGACUGAAUUGGAGUUCCCGUCGUGGUUCAGCGGAAACCAAUCUGACUAGGAUCCAUGAGGACGCAGGUUUGACCCCUGGCUUCAUUCAGUGGAUUAGGGAUCUGGCCUUGCCAUGAGCUGUGGUGUAGUUGGCAGGCAUGGCUUGGAUCUGGCAUUGCUGUGGCUGUGGCGUAGGCCAGCUCCAAUUUGACUCCUCGCCUGGGAACCUCCAUAUGCCUCUGGUGGGACCCUAAAAAGACAAAAAAAAAAAAAAAAAAACAAAAAA